rnacentral:tRNA from 1 species
GAUGAGGUGGCUGAGUGGAUAAGGUGAUGGACUGUCAAUCCUUCGGGCCCUUCCCGCGUGGGUUUGAAUCCCAUCCUUGUCG